UGGGUUUGGAUCCUGCAGCUAUCUAUCUAUCUAUCUAUCUAUAGUUCUAUCUAUCUUUCCAUCUAUAGUUCUAUCUAUCUAUCUAUAGAUCUAUCUAUCUGUCCAUCUAUCUAUCUAUGCAAUUAGUUGUCAUACAACAAGUGAGACAAGACACAUUUACGGGUUUGGUGAGAAACACAUAGGGUGGGCUGCAACACUGACAGUAAGACAUAAGAUGCAAAAAACAUUAAUAAAUAAACAAGCAAACAGACAAACAAAAAAGAAAAAAACAAAUGGCAAAUAAAAUGAGGAUAAAUAACAAAAUAAGUAUGAUGGAUUAUGUGUUACUAUAUUGAGUGUGGGGCGGGUUCUAAAGUUAAAGUGUGCAUAAAUGGUCUGAACAGAAAGUUGUACCUAUGUUUGUGUCACUUUAUGAGGAUGAUGGAGAAUCAGCUUUCAAAUCUUUCAAUGUUUACCAGCCUACACUCUGACUUUUAAUAUUCUUAUUAUUUUUUUUAAAAGUGUGGCUAGAAUGAGGGCGGCGAUGCCUCAAGUUGGCGCUCGUGAAGGACGUCACUCGCUCCGCCACUAGUCGCUCAUUAGCGAAUCACUCGCUCUCAUUGUGCUGCAAAACAUGAAAGCGGCAGCUCUGGUCCAACGCCAUGGAAACCCCUUCAAUUGAGCAGCGGGAUCCGUCGCUGGUCCGACAGUGAGCGAACCAUCAAAGACGCUCACCCUUAUUAUUCUCUACUUAAGAGGCCUGUGCAGGAUGAGAGCCGUGCACAGGCCUAAUGACGGAGGCGAGGUGUUUGCCGUGCACCGCGAACCCUCAGGACUCUCAAAACGAGUAACGUCAGGCGUGUUUUUUUCUCAAAAACCCCCCAGACAAGACACCGAUCUGGAACAGCACAUGGCAACACUGUGUAAUCUGCUCCGUCAGCCGUGGAAACAGGAAUCUUCGUAUUGAUGUAUAAUUGUAGACGCGUGUGUAAAGAAUCCGGGCAAAUGCUCUAAUUUGAAAACAGAGUUCACUCCUCUGCCGCGCAGCAAUUUGAUUUCAAGUGGAAAUAGACGACUCCUUGGUUUUAAACUUGUCAUUAUGAUGUUAAAGCUGGUGCACAGUGUAAUUGCGAUGGAAAAACGACACCAGUCCGCGCUCAUAUCGAUCCUCCUGUAAGUCCCGCUUUCACCACGUUAUUCUCUUGGCCACCGGGGCGCAGUUUUUUCGUGGAAGUGGAACUGCGGAAGGAAGAGAACAGCGGCCUCCUGGUAGCCGCACACCCCCGGCGACGGAGAUUGGCAGACGGAAAGGGCCGAAAUCGACGGAAGCCACUCGACCUCGCAAGGGGCGAAAGAAUCCUGUUGACGGAGGCAGGAGAGCAGGCGAAGAAGAGCGGUGUUAGCCGUCGAGGCGGGGCGUCGCUGCUGCGAUUAGUCGCGGUGGCUUCUUGUUCAGAAACAAGGUCUCGACUCUUUGAUUGUCUCUUAAUAAAUAAGAUGCAGUUUGGUUUUAGUGAUCUCUUUAUCCAGUCAGUUUCUUCCGUUUGCUGGGGAAGAUGGUUCAACUCUGCCAGGGCACCAUCGCCGCUGUAACUUGAAUAACCCUGGCCGCGUUAUAGGCCGCUCGGAGGGCAAAGGUCAUUCUUGGAAGACGUCAAGAGGUCAAGGAAAGGUGUAAAGGAGGACUCAUAGGACAGCGACGGUGACAGCUUUCGCUAAACUACGUCAGCACGCGACGGCGGAUGUUGUUGACGUGCGUCUGUCGUGGUGAAACUACACAUUUUCCGAAAGAUGAACUACAAAAAAACGCAGCCGCUCCAUCAGCAUGUUUCAGUUCCUUUACCACCGAGUGACAUCAGAUGCAAAUGAUUCAUAUGUAACAGUAACUGACAUGAUGACGUGCGUCUCUUCUGCAUCAUAUUCAUACUUCUCUUCUUCUUAACUAUUGCUGCCGCAAUGGGGGCAGUUUUUCCACGUGGCAUCUUGUCACUAUCUUUAAUUAUCAAGUAUUACUUCUUCCUCUUCUACAUUAAAAUUCUACACUGAUCAACCGUGUUCAUUCUGAACCAUCAGUGCUGUGAUAUAAAAUACACUAAUCUGCCACAACAGUAAAAAUCAGUUACCAGUUUUAAAGUCGCGGCUGAUCGUUGUAUGUUCCAGUACCUAAUCUGACACGAUGACGAAGCCAUGAUAGAGCGAACGUGAGUCAAUGAAAAACAAGUUCAUUUGUUACAUUCGUAGACAAAUGAUGUUGAUAUGUAUGUCACUUCAUGUUAUGAUCAUUUUCCUUGCAACACUGCGGAUGGACCACAUUGGGGGAAAAAAAAACCCCACACACUAACAACGGUUUCCAUAGGAACUGCUAAUCAUCCUCUUAACUCCUCGUCCCCAAAGUUGAGAGAACAUUCAUUCACUGUUCUUACAGUAAAUUACCUCUGGACUAUCUUUCAGCCAGACGGUGCAAUUACUUAUGUCGUUCCUGCGAGCUAUUUGUGUGCACAUUAAACUGCUGUGAUAUAGUGGCCUGGGUCGUGUCAGACAUCAGCCCCCGUUCGGCAGCCAGAGGAGAUUAAGUAGCUGCGAUGUAAAAGAAUAAUUGCCUGCGGAAUAAUUGUCACUCACGAUACACUGUCAAUAGGCCUGUGUUUACAAAAAAAACAAAAAAAAAACCACGAUGAGAGUUUUAUGAAUGGAGCUAAAUCAGUGUAAAUCCAAAUGAAAACCUCAUUAAAAGCUUAAAUGCGUCUAACUAGGCCCUUUGCUGCACCUUCUCACUUGCAUUGAUCUCAUCAUAUACUUUAUUAAGCACAGGACACGAAGAGCAUAUACUGUGAUUGAAAUUGAUAUUUUUGCCUUAUUGUCUGUAACUUUGCAACAGAAUAUGAUUUAAGAGUUUGUGUGAGGUAUUGUGGAAAUUAGUAGGCAUGUUUUGUUUGCUGCCUGAGCCUUGUUUUAUCUCAGGAGCAAAGGUGAAGGUGGUUAUUAGCGCCACGGUAAUGAGAUCAGCUGACAUUUUUACUUUGUGAGUUUCCAGCGUGUUCCACCAUCAGCUCCCUCUCUGAGAGCUGUGACAUGGCUUUGUCAACCAGGCGUGUGCUGCGUCACAUGGGAGGAAAAAACAACCGGCGCAGUCGAUGCCACCUUGACAUCGCAUCAACUACCGCACCGGAGUUACAACCCCGCGUUGAGAAAGAUCAAGUUUAAGGUGGCUUCAGAUACCAGUGACACGGGCCCAGAUCUGCACCGAGACAGUGGGGUCAUCUGGAAGAAGCAUUCUCCCAAUAAACAUCAAUAUGAUGACAACAUGAGCUUGUGGAUGGUUGGUGGUCCAGCAUGCUACUAAUUCAACACGGACAUUCUUCGCCAUGAAACUCAAAUCUGUGGCAUUACUCUAAUUAGGUCCCGUGCUAACAGGGACCCAGCUACAGUGUUUGGCACCGGCGAGGUAACAGCUUUGCACAUUGUGCCUCUGCAGAGCCUGUGAUAUGUUUGGAGGAACAGCACACGAACAGAAGAAGAAUACACAUUGUUCACAACUUGCAACGGCAAAAAUCGGACUCCAGAGGACACACUGCUGCAUGGGGAAUAGCACAGCCUCAGUUGGCAUAGUAUCAUGUGGGAUUGAGUGCUCUCGGGUGGUCGGUAUUAAGUCUUGGCCUCGCAGGCCUCAGACACUGUUCGGGUUGUAACAGAGCAUGUUCAGUUGCAGGUUUUCAUCCCAGUGUCUGAGGAUCAUGAAGAGCUGGUUGGCGGCGGCCUUGACGGAGGCUAAAUCUCGGCCCUCUGGGAUGUCCUGCGCGCUCAACCACAUGCUCGCCUUGGCCGCGACCAGUUCCCACUCUAUGAAAUAGCUGGCCGAGCUGUGCUCCAGCCAGGCGAGGGCCACGGCCGUGGCCCACACCAUGCUCUCCGGAUUCAGCAUCCUCUUUAGCACGCCUCCGGGAGAUGCCGUUUCCGAGCCCCCGGACCCGGAGCUCCGCCCGCUGUCCCCGUGGGAGUGUGGGGAGACCGGGGGCUCGGCGGCCGAGGGUGGACUUCCUGAUGAGGCGGGAGCAGCAUCCGUCCAGACGCUCCUGGGCGCAUGACAAGGGCUGUGGACGCCCGCAGUUUGCUCCGCUGGUGGCUGACAUGUUUCGGGCUCACACGGUGACCCGUGCCCGUCGCCGGCACUCUCAGCGCGGCGGCUGCCGGAGUGAGACAAGUGGCCCAGGCUGGUGCGGUGGCUGGUGAAGGGGGACGUCCACUUCAGCUUGUCCAUGGGCACAUUGAUGGCGUCGCACAGAGCUGUGUCCAGGGGGAAUGCGCCGCAAGCCAACUGCAACAACACCUGUGCAGAAGGAAAAAAUUGUUCACGGUCUUGACAGUUUGUUCUCUUGCCUUCAAACUGACUUCCGCGAUUGUGACACGUUUCGUCUCCCGGGACAAAUCUACAGUCUGCUCAAAUGAUCUGCCACCUACCAGAGGAAUGUAGUCUUUGUUCUCGUUGUCACUUUCUCCAAUCGAAUCGCCCGACUUGCUGUAGGUUCGACACAUGAAGCCCUUGGCAGCUCGCGUCAGGAGACGAGUCCUGCUGAGGGCCAACCUUACGGAGGAGCGGGGGACACGGCCGUAAAUCACCAUGUGCAUCUAUGCAGCAUUCUCUCGAAGUCAAAAGUAAUUUUCUUAUAGAACCGCAGCUGCAGCAUAAACGUGCAAGCUGCCAGCCGGUCACCGAUCACCCACCUGGCAGAAAAAAGGCUCUCCACCGAUUUCUGCGAUUGGUCAGAGGUCACCGACGGACUCCUCUGGGAGACUUGGGGGCAGAGAGGCAGAGUUAGACGAGACGAAGAACCAUUCUCUGUCUCAACUCUCUGUUUUUCUGUUCCCGACGUGAGUCUCGCGCCAUAAAGGGCUCAAACACAGCGGAGGACAUACGGUAUAAUUCCGCCCGGCUGUGUCUCCUCUGCAGGUUGAAACACUCCUGCGUUUGUGCACUUGUGGCUUUCUCUUUAAAAGGGUCCAGGCAGCGUUUGUCGAUAGAAGCCGCAAAAAUUGUGUCGAUUCCCCCCCCCCCCCCCCCCCCCCCUCCAGCAUCAUCACUUACAAGAAGAGAGAGGGACCCAAAUGUCAACGGGCUCAUGUUUCACAUUCGGGGCAACACAACACUGUUGCGGAGGAGACGGCGAGGCGACAACCAGACAGUUCACGUCGGCUGAUGUGCUGCACUUACCCUCCGCGAAGCUGCAUCUCUCCCAGCCAGAGGAGGAGGGAGUGCUGCAGGGGGAGACGCCAUCCUCGCCACCUGGGACAACGAUGACAUUUAUUUCAUUUUCUUCUCAGAACCUAAAUGGACAUUGUUUUUGAUAAAACUAUGAGCAUAUACUGAUCCUCUGCAUCUGCUCACUGUCCUUUUUAAAAAAUAAAAAAAAAACUGGCAGUGCCAAGCACAUGUUCGAGCAGUGCGCUGGGCUUUUUCGCCUCCUGUUGCUAUGCCACCACUGAAAACCAAUUUAAAAGCCUUUGCCCUUUUACUGAAGUUGGAGAUAUUUUUAUAGAACAGCAGCGAACAAGCUUCUUUGACGUGGUCCAAUAUCACGCAGCUUCCCAGUGUUGUCUGUUUGCAACCCUUUUUUUCAAAUUUCAAAUGAGGACAUAUUUAUUAUUUUUUGCUGUUUUUAUUCAUCUGAUCUUCUUUUAUGGUUGUCUUUUCAAUGAUUGAUGGUCGUGGUGCAUUAUGGUCUUUAAAGCCGAGUCCUUUAUUCAUGAUUAACGUCCUACGUCUCCUGUGAAGCACUUUGAGUUGCGUCUGAUUUGUUUGGAAAGUCGUUAUAUGAAUAAAGUUUGAUUCAUUCAUUUUAUUUAUAAACAUAAACAUAAAAAUCUCCUAUGCCAUACUGCUUCAUUCUUGGAAAAACAUCCGGUCAACCUUUCUUUGUGGCUCUUAUCUUAUCUGUGUCGACUGUGGUACUAAUAAUAGUUGGAGUUCAAAAAUAAAUUGAAGCUCCAUCUGUUGUUUAA